rnacentral:rRNA from 1 species
UACGUAUGGUGCAAGCGUUAUCCGGAUUUACUGGGUGUAAAGGGUGCGUAGGUGGCAAGGCAAGUCUGAAGUGAAAAUCCGGGGCUCAACCCCGGAACUGCUUUGGAAACUGUUUAGCUAGAGUACAGGAGAGGUAAGUGGAAUUCCUAGUGUAGCGGUGAAAUGCGUAGAUAUUAGGAGGAACACCAGUGGCGAAGGCGAUUUACUGGACUGGUACUGACACUGAGGCACGAAAGCGUGGGGAGCAAACAGG